GGUUAGAAGACUGUAUCAAUGGCAGGUUGAUUGUCUACGCCUUGAUGGAGUUUUGGAUGGUAAAAGUCUUGUUUACUGUGCCUCGACAAGUGCAGGAAAGAGUCUUGUUGCAGAAAUUUUGAUGUUAAAAAGAGUGCUGGCGACAGGGAAAAUGGCAAUGCUGGUUUUACCAUAUGUCGCGUUGUG